rnacentral:rRNA from 1 species
GUGAGGAAUAUUGGUCAAUGGGCGAGAGCCUGAACCAGCCAUGCCGCGUGCAGGAAGAAUGCCCUAUGGGUUGUAAACUGCUUUUAUUUGGGAAUAAACCUUUCUACGUGUAGAAAGCUGAAGGUACUAAAUGAAUAAGCACCGGCUAACUCCGUGCCAGCAGCCGCGGUAAUACGGAGGGUGCAAGCGUUAUCCGGAAUCAUUGGGUUUAAAGGGUCCGCAGGCGGAUUAAUAAGUCAGUGGUGAAAUCUCAUAGCUUAACUAUGAAACUGCCAUUGAUACUGUUAGUCUUGAAUAUGGUCGAUGUGGGCGGAAUAUGACAUGUAGCGGUGAAAUGCUUAGAUAUGUUAUAGAACACCGAUAGCGAAGGCAGCUCACAAGGCCAUUAUUGACGCUCAUGGACGAAAGCGUGGGGAGCAAACAGGAUUAGAAACCCCUGUAGUCC